GCACACCCUCCCCUACAAAAGUCCUGCCAGCACAGCCCCUAAUCAUGGACUGGAUUUGGAGAGCCAUCUUCUUGGUGGCAGUGGCUACAGGCGUCCACUCUGAGGUGCAGCUGGUGCAGUCCGGGGCUGAGGUGCGGAAGCCUGGAGCCUCAGUGAAGGUCUCCUGCAAGGUUUCUGGAUACACCUUCACCAACUAUGUUAUGCACUGGGUGCGACAGGCCCCAGGAAAAGGGCUUGAGUGGAUGGGAAGGGUUUACCCUUACAAUGGUAACACAAACUACGCUCAGAAAUUCCAAGGCAGAGUCACCAUGACUGCAGACAAGUCCUCGAGCACAGCCUUCAUGGAUCUGAGCAGCCUGAAAGCUGAGGACACAGCCCUGUAUUACUGUGCGAGAGACACAGUGAAGGGAAGUCAGG